UACAGAGGGUGCGAGCGUUGUUCGGAAUUAUUGGGCGUAAAGCGCAUGUAGGCGGUCUGUUAAGUCGCGUGUGAAAGCUCCAGGCUCAACCUGGAAAGUGCGCGCGAAACUGGCGGACUUGAGUGCCGGAGAGGGUGGCGGAAUUCCCGGUGUAGCGGUGAAAUGCGUAGAUAUCUGUAGGAACACCCGUGGCGAAGGCGGCUCGCUGGACCGCAACUGACGCUGAGGAACGAAAGCUAGGGGAGCAAACAGG
rnacentral:rRNA from 1 species